rnacentral:rRNA from 1 species
AUUGAACGCUGGCGGCAGGCCUAACACAUGCAAGUCGAACGGUAACAGGAAGAAGCUUGCUUCUUUGCUGACGAGUGGCGGACGGGUGAGUAAUGUCUGGGAAACUGCCUGAUGGAGGGGGAUAACUACUGGAAACGGUAGCUAAUACCGCAUAACGUCGCAAGACCAAAAAGGGGGACCUUCGGGCCUCUUGCCAUCGGAUGUGCCCAGAUGGGAUUAGCUAGUAGGUGGGGUAACGGCUCACCUAGGCGACGAUCCCUAGCUGGUCUGAGAGGAUGACCAGCCACACUGGAACUGAGACACGGUCCAGACUCCUACGGGAGGCAGCAGUGGGGAAUAUUGCACAAUGGGCGCAAGCCUGAUGCAGCCAUGCCGCGUGUAUGAAGAAGGCCUUCGGGUUGUAAAGUACUUUCAGCGGGGAGGGAGGGAGUAAAGUUAAUACCUUUGCUCAUUGACGUUACCCGCAGAAGAAGCACCGGCUAACUCCGUG